rnacentral:rRNA from 1 species
AAUAGAUACCCUGGUAGUCCACGCCGUAAACGUUGGGCACUAGGUGUGGGUCUCAACCAACGAGAUCCGCGCCGUCGCUAACGCAUUAAGUGCCCCGCCUGGGGAGUACGGUCGCAAGACUAAAACUCAAAGGAAUUGACGGGGGCCCGCACAAGCAGCGGAGCGUGUUGCUUAAUUCGAUGCAACGCGAAGAACCUUACCUGGGUUUGACAUGUACCGAAAAGCUCUAGAGAUAGGGUGUCCUUCGGGGCGGUACACAGGUGGUGCAUGGCUGUCGUCAGCCCGUGUCGUGAGAUGUUGGGUUAAGUCCCGCAACGAGCGCAACCCUUAUCCUAUGUUGCCAGUAAGUAAUGUUGGGGACUCGUAGGAGACUGCCGGGGUCAACUCGGAGGAAGGUGGGGAUGACGUCAAGUCAUCAUGCCCCUUAUGCCCAGGGCUGCGAACACGCUACAAUGGCCGGUACAGAGGGCUGCGAUCUCGCGAGAGUGAGCGAAUCCCACAAAGCCGGUCUCAGUUCGGAUUGGAGUCUGC